rnacentral:rRNA from 1 species
GACGGAGGAUGCAAGUGUUAUCCGGAAUCACUGGGACGUAAAGCGUCUGUAGGUGGUCAAAUAAGUCAACUGUUAAAUCUUGAGGCUUAACCUCAAAAUCGCAGUCGAAACUAUUAGACUAGAGUAUAGUAGGGUAAGGAAUUCAGUGAGCGGUGAAAUGCGUAGAGAGUCCGGAAGAACACCGGUGGCGAAGGCGGUCUGCUGGGCAGUUGCUGACAACUGAGACGCGGAAAGCGUGGGGAGCAAAGCAGG